UUAAUGCCUCUGUAUUUAGUUAACCUCUUGGAUUAGUCAGCUGCUAGCUUUGGGGGCGCUACAGUAUCACGUGGACACCAACUUAAAAUAUAUGGUUGUUGACCUAAUAAUAAGCUUCCUUCCGAAUGUGUUAAAGCUCAAAACUGGAGGUUGUAACCAUUAUGAGUAAUGGUGAUGGGUGCUUUACCGCAGGGUGCUAGACAUAUCGCCCAAUGGUACAAAAUGAUGCGACAAAAAACUUAGGUGAUUUGUUCCCUAACAUUUUUAUAGUUAAUUGUUUUUCAUUGUUUACCUUUGACAGCAAUGUACUUUUUUGGCAUGCACGUUCCUUCUUACUUAGAAAUUUUCAAACCUUCAGCUAAUGAGGUUUUAAAUCAUGUGACAAUGUAAUAAGGAUCUUGGAUGUUUGAAUAUGAUUGAAGACCCAAAAUGGUUAUAUAUACUAAUAUCCAUGAUUUAUGGUAUUUGAAGGCUCCAGGCAGUAUCUCAAGAAAUUAUAAUACAACUUCAAGGUUUACACAUACAUUCAAACUACUGGGGUUGAGAUACUAUUUACCGUUUAGUCUGA